UAAUGCUUGUGUUUAGCAUCCGCUGUAGUGAUAAUGCUUCUUUAUUAGGUCUGGAGAUGUUUAGAUAUGUCCUGAUGGUAAACCAAAGCCUCUAUCUAGCUGAAAGGGUUUCGGAUUAGUUUCAUGUUCUUCAUCAAUGUUUUGUUUUUCAAACCAAUUGCUGCCCUGCUGCCCACAUCAGGCAAGUUUCAGCCUGAAAGUUCUCUUUGAGCUAAAAGACUUUCUCUGUGAAACUCUGAGCAGUCAGGGCUAGAGGCAAGUAAGCAGCAGGCUGCAGAAUCAAUCAAGAAAUCACUUAGUACCUACAAAUAAAUACUUGUAUCUGAAGUGUUUAUUUUUCUUUUAUUUUUUUAUUUUCUUUCCCUCAGCUCCCCCUUUGGUCUGGAUAAAUCCCUGGUUUCAGAGCAGAAAGACUGGGAAGAAGCAGCUGAAAUUGAACUAUCUGAUUUGACUUUGCACUGGACCAGAUUAUGGAGCAUCCUCACCCUCCUUUUUUCCAGUUCUGGUUGGAGUUCACCAACUUCUUGCAACAGGGAGGUCUGUGAAUGCAACUCAUCUUCCUGCGAGUGGACAGGGACAAGAAAGGGAAGAGGAUGGCUGAAAGGGGAAGAAACUUGGAAGAUGGUUCAGCUGGAACCUGGCCCCUUAAAGUGACAGGAUUAACGUUGCAUACUUUGCCAUUAAGGAGGCUGAACAUGUGAAUCAACGUACAUGAGAGCUUUCUCCAAGACAAAACUGACUCUGGAGCAGUGUCAGCAUCAGUGAGAGGAAGAGCUAAGACCAGCUGCUUUGACAUGAGUUUUUCUGCCUGUCUACCUCCACGCUUGUGUCCUUCCUAUAGCCAGUACUCUCUAGCUUUACCUAUCAGCCACUUAAGCCUCAGCCUUGCAAAAGUUUUAGCAUAAACUCAGUGUAGUGCAGCUAUUUACCCCUCCAGGACACUGGAGAGGAGACUUGCGAAGGAUGUCAUUACAGAGGAACAGCAUUAAAUGUCUGUGAAUGAUGACCUUUUUAUUAAGCACAAAUAGUCUUAAGUUCAGAGGCUGAGCAAGCCAGGCUGGGAAAGAAAAUGCCAGAAAGGUAGGAUCAUCUUCCACAGGCAAAGCAUGGCUAUGCAUCUAGAGAGCCUUGUUUCCAUCUCAGAUGAGAUUAGGACACAAAGUGCCCAUCAGCAGCCCACAGCUAGGUAAAAAUACUUUUAUUGAUAACAGGUGCUAUAUUUUUGCAUGUAAACCUUACAAUUUGACCAUGAGAAAGAGUGCUAUGAUGACAUAAUAACACAUAUUAUCAACACAUAGAGGUAUGGAGAAAAAUUUCUCUCUGCCACAUCUAUCUCCUUUCAUUUCACCAAAAGCUCAUCUUCUUCUGUGGUAUUAGGUAGUAGCAAUGAACAGACAGCUCCUUUUUAGACAGUGGCUCUCUCAAAUCAGUUGCAUAUUCUCAAAGUUACAAGAUAUGUGGAGAAAAAUACAGCAUUUGCAAAGCAUUCUUCAGUUGAUGAGCAGUUUAAGAGUAGAGUACCCUCUCUGGGAAGAUGCAGCAAAGAAAGCACCUUAAGAAAUUGAAAGGUACACCUGGAUCCACUUAAAUAAAAGGAUCUUGCUAGGGAGGCCUAAUUGGCCUGCCCUAGUUAGCCCACCUGUGAACAGUUUUGUAGCUGCAAGAACAGGAGUGAGGCACUCAUGAGGUUUUCUACUUCAUUCUGGAAGUUGAAGUUAGAGAAAACUUGGAAACUUGGGAUAGCAGUUGGCUGCAGCAGCAUGUAAGCCCUCGAUUAGCGGUUGCUUUACAGCGACCUGAGAGGAGCUUGGGGCUUGCUCAAGAGCCUGUGCUUUCAACUGCCUGCAUGACUAAUGCUGCCAGAAGCUGUCUAGAGACAGAGGCCAAUGUUUGAAGCCAUCAGUGUUUCCAGUAUAUGAAAUACCCAGAUCCAGUCUGGAGCAGCUGGCGGGGGAAGAACCCUGUGCUGGCAGCCAGAACUUGUAUCACCAAACCUGUACUCAUCCUGGCAUGGUUUGGCACACUUGCCCAUCCCUGGCAGCCUGCUCCUGCAGGAUUACAAGUGAUUAAGCAGGCGUGAAAACACAGUAACCCUUCCUUUCCAUGCAGAGGCAAGAGCAAAGGUGUGGACCCCCCUUCUCCCUC